UACGUAGGGUCCGAGCGUUGUCCGGAAUUAUUGGGCGUAAAGGGCUCGUAGGCGGUUUGUCGCGUCGGGAGUGAAAACACGGGGCUUAACCCCGUGCCUGCUUCCGAUACGGGCAGACUAGAGGUAUGCAGGGGAGAACGGAAUUCCUGGUGUAGCGGUGAAAUGCGCAGAUAUCAGGAGGAACACCGGUGGCGAAGGCGAGUCCCUGGACGAUACCUGACACUGAGGCACGAAAGCCAAGGGAGCAAACAGG
rnacentral:rRNA from 1 species